GGGUUGUGAGGUUAAGCGACUAAGCGUACACGGUGGAUGCCCUGGCAGUCAGAGGCGAUGAAGGACGUGCUAAUCUGCGAUAAGCGUCGGUAAGGUGAUAUGAACCGUUAUAACCGGCGAUUUCCGAAUGGGGAAACCCAGUGUGACUCGUCACACUAUCAUUAACUGAAUCCAUAGGUUAAUGAGGCGAACCGGGGGAACUGAAACAUCUAAGUACCCCGAGGAAAAGAAAUCAACCGAGAUUCCCCCCAGUAGCGGCGAGCGAACGGGGAGCAGCCCAGAGCCUGAAUCAGUGUGUGUGUUAGUG
rnacentral:rRNA from 1 species